ACGAACGCUGGCGGCGUGCUUAACACAUGCCGGUCGAACGGAAAGGCCCUGCUUGCAGGGUACUCGAGUGGCGAACGGGUGAGUAACACGUGGGUGAUCUGCCCUGCACUUCGGGAUAAGCCUGGGAAACUGGGUCUAAUACCGGAUAGGAGCCAUUUUUAGUGUGAUGGUUGGAAAGUUUUUUCGGUGUAGGAUGAGCUCGCGGCCUAUCAGCUUGUUGGUGGGGUAAUGGCCUACCAAGGCGGCGACGGGUAGCCGGCCUGAGAGGGUGGACGGCCACAUUGGGACUGAGAUACGGCCCAGACUCCUACGGGAGGCAGCAGUGGGGAAUAUUGCACAAGGGGCGCAAGCCUGAUGCAGCGACGCCGCGUGGGGGAGGACGGCCUUCGGGUUGUAAACUCCUUUCGCUAGGGACGAAGCUUUUUGUGACGGUACCUAGAUAAGAAGCACCGGCUAACUACGUG
rnacentral:rRNA from 1 species